CAGGGAGGGUGAGAAACCCGGGAUGCCGCUGAAGCCACUGCUCCAGGAUCUGACCCACAGGAAGUGUGCUUUGCCGAUCCGCUAGGCGGCGCACGAGACAAUCAAGUUGACACUUUACAGGGUCCCUGCGGCGUGACUCCUCAUCAGGAAGACCUCAGAACCACGCAGCACUUUGUCCGGGAAGCCUGCGUGUAUUGGGGUUAGCGCCUUCUCUGGGGGUCUUGAGGCCAUUGCAGAAGACAGCAGUGUCACAUCUUCAUUCCUCAUGGAACUGCUGCAUGGCCUGUGGGUUUUUAUUGGUGCUGCUUAUUUUUUGAUUUGAGUUGUGUUUAUUUUUUGUCAUCAUGUCUUAAUAACCAUCUUAUAGGUUUAACCCAGAAACACGGGCUGUGUGUCCUCGUGCUGUGACUGUGUCCAUCCCUUCCAGGUUCCAUUCGCAUGGCCACCUCCACCAUCAGGAUGCGGUGCAGCCCCUUCCCCUUCUCUCAUACUGUCCCAGUGUCCUCUCCCUGCCUGCCCUCUGCCCUGGGCCUCUCCCUGCUCGCCUGAGCUCCCGCACACAGGUCAGGGAGUGGAGCUCACAGCAGGGACCUGGAGACCAGCCUCGCUCACACAGCACAGCGCCUCUCUGCUGCAGCCCUGUUCCCUGGGUCACCGCGCAUAGUCCUCCCAGAGCCAGCGCAACUGUCCGUGUCCACUGUGGACUCCUGUGUGCUGUUUUUGCGUGUGAGAAAUGUGAAGGAGGCUGCUGGGAGUGUUUAUGCUCAGCUUUGUGUAUGGACCUGUUAUUUCUCUUUCCCGGAACCUGAGAUAAGGGAGUGUUGAUAGGAAAUGGCGAACUUUUCUCAAUAAGCACUGGAUGAGUCUUCUUUUUAGCACUGCAUGAUAUUAGUAUUUGCUCCAAUCCCCACCAGCAUGUGAAAUUUGUUAUCAAUUUCCCUUUUCUGUUUUUGGCCUCAUGAUUGUGCAAUGUUUUCCCAUAAGGUUAUGCUGGAGAUUCCUAAGGACUGACAGUGUGAAAAUCUUAUAAACAUUAAAUGAAUCAUUUUUUAUUUCAGUUCAGAAAAACAGUCCCAGAACUGAGAAGAGUUCAGUGCCUGUGCUUUCAGUUUUCUGGAAAAGUUGACCAUGUUUCCAUGUGCAUGUUGCUCGUGCGCACAUCUUCCUCAGAAGGAUGUGCCUUUAAAUCAAAUGCCUAGUUUUGGACGAUGCAGGGUGGUGAACCUAGAGCCUCAUACCUGCUCCUCCAGUGCCCUACCACUGAGCUAAACCCAGCCUUUGCUCUGUUUAUAAAGAUUGUGUACUGGGCUUGGGAUUCAGCGCAGUGGUUCUGGCGGCUGCAGCGUAAGCACAAGGUACCAAGUUCAAUUCCCAGUACCAAAAAAAAAAAAAGAUUGUGUACUUGCUUCUCUAGUCACUGUUGCUGUUCAGUGGGAAGUUAUUUAGAUACUGUCGAUGUUUAUGCCUAUAAUUUAUAAAAAUACUUCUCCAAGUCCAUGGAGUGUCCUUUCCCUCUAUUGAAAGUGUUCCUUGGGGAGUUUAUUUUUUAAAUUGACAAAGUAUUAUGUAUCUAUUUUUAUACCUGUGCUUUUGGUGUCUUACCCAUUAGGUUUUUGCUAAAAUCUAUGUAAUAAAGGUUUUAUAUGAAGACUGUA